rnacentral:rRNA from 1 species
GAUGAACGCUGGCGGCGUGCCUAAUACAUGCCAGUCGAGCGAACAGACGAGGAGCUUGCGCCUUUGACGUUAGCGGCGGACGGGUGAGUAACACGUAGGUAACCUACCUAUAAGACUGGGAUAACUUCGGGAAACCGGAGCUAAUACCGGAGAAUAUUUCGAACCGCAUGGUUCGAUAGUGAAAGAUGGCUUUGCUAUCACUUAUAGAUGGACCUGCGCCGUAUUAGCUAGUUGGUAAGGUAACGGCCUACCAAGGCAACGAUCCGUAGCCGAGCUGAGAGGGUGAUCGGCCACACUGGAACUGAGACACGGUCCAGACUCCUACGGGAGGCAGCAGUAGGGAAUCUUCCGCAAUGGGCGCAAGCCUGACGGAGCAACGCCGCGUGAGUGAUGAAGGUCUUCGGGUCGUAAAACUCUGUUAUUAGGGAAGAACAAAAGUGUAAGUAACUGUGCACGUCUUGACGGUACCUAAUCAGAAAGCCACGGCUAACUACGUG